GAAUUUUGGACAAUGGGCGAAAGCCUGAUCCAGCAAUGCCGCGUGCAGGAUGAAGGCCUUCGGUUUGUAAACUGCUUUUGUACGGAACGAAAAGCUUUGGGUUACUCUCUAGGAGUCCUGUCGUUACUGUAUGAAUACGCACCGGCUAAUCACGUGCCGGCAGCCGCGGUAAUACGUAGGGUGUAAGGGUUAAUCGGAAUUACUGGGCGUAAAACGUGGGCAGGCGGUUUUGUAAGACAUGGGUAAAAUCCCCGGGCUCAACCUGGGAACUGCCUUUGUGACUGCAAGGCUAGAGUACGGCAGAGGGGAGUGGAAUUCCGCGUUUAGCAGUGAAAUGCGUAGAUAUGCGGAGGAACACCGAUGGCGAAGGCAACCCCCUGGGCCUGUACUGACGCUCAUGCACGAAAGCGUGGGGAGCAAACA
rnacentral:rRNA from 1 species